GUGAGGAAUAUUGGUCAAUGGGCGAGAGCCUGAACCAGCCAAGUCGCGUGAAGGAUGAAGGUUUUAUGAAUUGUAAACUUCUUUUGCAGGGGAAUAAAGUACGGUACGUGUACCGUUUUGUAUGUACUCUGCGUAUAAGGAUCGGCUAACUCCGUGCCAGCAGCCGCGGUAAUACGGAGGAUCCAAGCGUUAUCCGGAUUUAUUGGGUUUAAAGGGUGCGCAGGCGGGUUGAUAAGUCAGCGGUGAAAGUUUGCAGCUUAACUGUAAAAUUGACGUUGAAACUGUCGAUCUUGAGUGCAAAUGAGGUAAGCGGAAUGUGUUGUGUAGCGGUGAAAUGCUUAGAUAUAACACAGAACACCGAUUGCGAAGGCAGCUUACUGGGAUGCAACUGACGCUCAUGCACGAAAGCGUGGGGAUCAAACAGGAUUAGAAACCCGAGUAGUCC
rnacentral:rRNA from 1 species